GCACGUUAUAUGGAAACUUUAUUAUAAAUGAUGUUAAAAAGAAUAUUUAAUAUACUACAUGUAUAACUUGUUGUUCUUUUGACUGUUAUAGUGUACCUUCAUCGUCAGUGUGAAAUAACAUUCCAAUUUCUUUCUUUUAGGAAUGCACAAAAGUGUUUCAAAAGGAGGAGGUGAAGCCUUGGCAAAGAGCUGUGAUGUUCCAUUUUUAGGUUGUAUUCCACUGGAUCUCAGUCUAACACAAUCCUUAGAAGACGCUCAAGCCUUUCCCAACUCACCAUUACACUAAAUGCAAUAACCGUAAUCACUUCCAAACUGUUAGAAAUGGAAAGCAAUGGAGAUCAGUGAUUGAAGGAACAAGUACUUUUUUUCAAAAAAUGGUUGUUGAGUAUGUGGCAUUUAUACAGUUGGACAAACGUGACUGAGAUGGCCAAGUGAUCAACCACUGGUUUUCUCCUUACAGUGCCAGUCUCUUAUCAAUCAAAUCAGUGAUGAGAAUUACAGCAAUCAUCAAUCAAGCCCUGCUCUAGUCUUUAAGGAAGAAAACAUAGAAAAAUGUGGCUUCACCCCUCUAUGGACGUUGUGGGAGCAUAUACAUGUAAACCAUGUACAACAGCCUCCUUUACAAAGUUCUACUUGUUAAAGCAAGAAAGUAUGAUUACUGAACAGCAUCUUGAUUUGGGAAAAGCUUUGUUUGAAUUUUGUGUCGAUACAUAGUUACAUAGUAUAUGCAACUUCAAUACUUGUUUUGUCUGUGACCUCUUCAGUUGGUCGCCAGUAAAGAUUUGAAUUUGGGAUAACUUCAUGUAACCAUGCAUGAAAAAUAAAACUUGAUACUGAAUAAUAACAACUGACAAUAAUAUAACCAGAUAGAAACAAUAAUAAUAAGACAGAAAUAAACCAGUAAAUAAAUAAAUACAUAGACUGAAAUAAAAAAUGAAAAUUACUUAUAGUUUAACUUGUGGUAUCAAGUUUUAUUUUUCAUGCAUGGUUACAUGAGGUCACCUUGGAUUUGAAUCUGUUAUGGGGACUAAAUUAAGAGGUCAUAAAUGAAACUAGUUUUGUAGUUGUAUUAUUGGUGCAACUGUGUGUUGAAAUAAGAUUUGAAUGUAGUUUUUCGCUAUCAAGGUGACGUUAAAUGAUUGUACUUUAAUUUUGACAAAUGGACUGAUGUUGCAGAAAUGAUGUAUAUUCAGAGAAACAAUUUGAAUGAGGUCUUUCCUAAUCCAGGUGGUUGCAAAUCAUAAUUUUACAUGGCCAGUAAUAUACCUAAGAUUCUUUGUUCAAAAACUCAUAAAAUGUUGCAGCUGAAAGGUCAAUAAAAAAUAAAAAUGGAAAUAAAUACAAGUGGUACUGCCUCA